GAUCAUGGCUCAGAUUGAACGCUGGCGGCAGGCCUAACACAUGCAAGUCGAACGGUAACAGGAAGCAGCUUGCUGCUUCGCUGACGAGUGGCGGACGGGUGAGUAAUGUCUGGGAAACUGCCUGAUGGAGGGGGAUAACUACUGGAAACGGUAGCUAAUACCGCAUAACGUCGCAAGACCAAAGAGGGGGACCUUCGGGCCGUCUUGCCAUCGGAUGUGCCCAGAUGGGAGUUAG
rnacentral:rRNA from 1 species